rnacentral:rRNA from 1 species
AUUGAACGCUGGCGGCAUGCCUUACACAUGCAAGUCGAACGGUAACAGGUCUUCGGAUGCUGACGAGUGGCGAACGGGUGAGUAAUACAUCGGAACGUGCCCGAUCGUGGGGGAUAACGGAGCGAAAGCUUUGCUAAUACCGCAUACGAUCUACGGAUGAAAGCAGGGGACCGCAAGGCCUUGCGCGGGCGGAGCGGCCGAUGGCAGAUUAGGUAGUUGGUGGGAUAAAAGCUUACCAAGCCGACGAUCUGUAGCUGGUCUGAGAGGACGACCAGCCACAUGGGACUGGGGCACGGCCCCGGCUUCUAAGGGAGGGCGGAGGGGGGAAUUUUUGGCAAUGGGGCGAAGCCUGAUCCAGCCAUGCCGCGUGCAGGAUGAAGGCCUUCGGGUUGUAAACUGCUUUUGUACGGAACGAAAAGACUCUUUCUAAUAAAGAGGGUCCAUGACGGUACCGUAAGAAUAAGCACCGGCUAACUACGUG